UGGGGAGAUUCCCGUGGGAAAUGGGA
rnacentral:piRNA from 1 species